UUAUAAAAGUCUGGGUAAGCUAUAUUUUUGGAUUUGUAAAUAAUUAGAUAUGGCCCACGGGUAAGGUUUUCAAAGAACGAGACAAAGAGAUAUACAUGUCUUUCAAAGAACGAGGCAAACACAUAUACUGUAUACGUGCUAUUUCACUUCGUAUCAUCGUAUCAUCGUAUCACGCAAUAAUAUAGGUUACCCAGGCUUUUGUAAUAGCGCGGUCAUAUAG